GGAAGCUGCUUCACCAAUUUGGUUGGGGUAAUGAAACAUACUGAUAUUAGUGGACGUCUCUGCAAAUGAGUUGUCAGAUUCUAGUAUAUUUGUGCUGGUGUCAUCUCCAGAAACCAGCAUUGAGUCGGAUAAAUAUUUUGAGGUCUCACCUAGCUGUUUGUCUCUAGUCUGAUUCUUAACUUCAUCAGCUCUGUAGUUACUGGAAACAUUCUCUUUGCCUCUAGCAACUCCAAUAAAAUUGUCAGAAGAGUCAUUUAUCCAAUCUUUGAACUCCCGCAGCCAUUCAUCAGACCUUUCCUUCUUCAUAUUUUCAAUGCGGUUCAUCAACUCAAC
rnacentral:misc_RNA from 1 species